AGACCAUGAUGAGGGCAAUGCCUAAGUAGAUCUUUGUAUCUUUCCUAGGUUAUGUACAACAAUUCAAAAUUUAGCUGCAUGAAUGAUGCGAUAUCAUUCCUCAUUUU
rnacentral:snoRNA from 1 species